UGCAGAGGUGGGUGGUUGCUGUUUGA
rnacentral:piRNA from 1 species